rnacentral:rRNA from 1 species
CCUACGGGUGGCAGCAGUCGAGAAUCAUUCACAAUGGGGGAAACCCUGAUGGUGCGACGCCGCGUGGGGGAAUGAAGGUCUUCGGAUUGUAAACCCCUGUCAUGUGGGAGCAAAUUAAAAAGAUAGUACCACAAGAGGAAGAGACGGCUAAAUCUGUGCCAGCAGCCGCGGGAAUACAGAGGUCUCAAGCGUUGUUCGGAAUCACUGGGCGUAAAGCGUGCGUAGGCUGUUGCGUAAGUCGUGUGUGAAAGGCGCGGGCUCAACCCGCGGACGGCACAUGAUACUGCGAGACUAGAGUAAUGGAGGGGGAAGCGGAAUUCUCGGUGUAGCAGUGAAAUGCGUAGAUAUCGAGAGGAACACUCGUGGCGAAGGCGGGUUCCUGGACAUUAACUGACGCUGAGGCACGAAGGCCAGGGGAGCGAAAGGGAUUAGAUACCCGGGUAGUC